rnacentral:rRNA from 1 species
GCGGCGAACGGGUGAGUAAUACAUCGGAACGUGUCCAGUAGCGGGGGAUAACCUGUCGAAAGAUAGGCUAAUACCGCAUACGACCUACGGGAGAAAGCGGGGGACCGCAAGGCCUCGCACUAUUGGAGCGGCCGAUGUCGGAUUAGCUAGUUGGCGGGGUAAAAGCCCACCAAGGCGACGAUCCGUAGCUGGUCUGAGAGGACGACCAGCCACACUGGAACUGAGACACGGUCCAGACUCCUACGGGAGGCAGCAGUGGGGAAUUUUGGACAAUGGGCGAAAGCCUGACCCAGCGACGCCGUGUGGGCGAUGAAGGCCUUCGGGUUGUAAAGC